AGAGUUUGAUCCUGGCUCAGGACGAACGCUGGCGGCGUGCCUAAUACAUGCAAGUCGAGCGGACUUCGUGAGAGCUUGCUCUCAUGAAGUUAGCGGCGGACGGGUGAGUAACACGUAGGUAACCUGCCUGUAAGAUUGGGAUAACUCCGGGAAACCGGGGCUAAUACCGAAUAAGCAAUUGAACCGAUUGGUUUGAUUGUAAAAGACGGCGCAAGCUGUCACUUACAGAUGGGCCUGCGGCGCAUUAGCUAGUUGGUAAGGUAAUGGCUUACCAAGGCAACGAUGCGUAGCCGACCUGAGAGGGUGAUCGGCCACACUGGGACUGAGACACGGCCCAGACUCCUACGGGAGGCAGCAGUAGGGAAUCUUCCGCAAUGGACGAAAGUCUGACGGAGCAACGCCGCGUGAGCGACGAAGGUUUUCGGAUCGUAAAGCUCUGUUGUGAGGGAAGAACAAGUAUGGGAGUAACUGCCCGUACCUUGACGGUACCUCACCAGAAAGCCACGGCUAACUACGUGCCAGCAGCCGCGGUAAUACGUAGGUGGCAAGCGUUGUCCGGAAUUAUUGGGCGUAAAGCGCGCGCAGGCGGUCUCUUAAGUCUGAUGUGAAAUCUUGCGGCUCAACCGCAAUCGGUCAUUGGAAACUGGGGGACUUGAGUACAGAAGAGGAGAGUGGAAUUCCACGUGUAGCGGUGAAAUGCGUAGAGAUGUGGAGGAACACCAGUGGCGAAGGCGGCUCUCUGGUCUGUAACUGACGCUGAGGCGCGAAAGCGUGGGGAGCGAACAGGAUUAGAUACCCUAGUAGUCC
rnacentral:rRNA from 1 species